UACGGGAGGCAGCAGUGGGGAAUAUUGCACAAUGGGCGAAAGCCUGAUGCAGCAACGCCGCGUGAGUGAGGAAGGCCUUUGGGUCGUAAAGCUCUGUUCUUGGGGAAGAAACAAAUGACGGUACCCAAGGAGAAAGCCCCGGCUAACUACGUGCCAGCAGCCGCGGUAAUACGUAGGGGGCGAGCGUUAUCCGGAAUUAUUGGGCGUAAAGAGUGCGUAGGUGGUUUUGUAAGCGCGGGGUGAAAGGCUAUGGCUUAACCAUAGUAAGCCCUGCGAACUGUAAGACUUGAGUGCAGGAGAGGAAAGCGGAAUUCCUAGUGUAGCGGUGAAAUGCGUAGAUAUUAGGAGGAACACCAGUGGCGAAGGCGGCUUUCUGGACUGUAACUGACACUGAGGCACGAAAGCGUGGGGAGCAAACAGGAUUAGAUACCCUGGUAGUCCACGCCGUAAACGAUGAGCACUAGGUGUCGGGGCCGCAAGGUUUCGGUGCCGCAGUUAACGCAUUAAGUGCUCCGCCUGGGGAGUACGCACGCAAGUGUGAAACUCAAAGGAAUUGACGG
rnacentral:rRNA from 1 species